UUUAUAAAGGAGAGAUGCACAUAUAGAGCUGCUAGAUGUUCCUGAAUGCUCAGAUGAACAAAGCAGAAGACUUUCCCCUGAUACAAGCCCAACUCCUCUCUGAAGAUCUGAGUGCACAAUCCUGAGUACACUGAUGCUUCUGUCACAUCAAUGCCACACUCUCUCAGGUCUUCCUCAUAGAAGAUCAGGUUGCCUUUCACAAGCUGCUGAAAAGCCACUUUCCCCAGUUUGAGGAUCAUGUCUUCAUCUUUCACUUUCUUCUCAUAGUCCUUCUCAUGUUUGAUGUUGGUCUGAAUGAUCAGGAAGUGUGUGUACAUUUGAGUGAGAGUCUUGGGAAUCUCUCCACUCUCUGCUUCACUCAACAUCUUCUCUAGAACAGUGGCUGAGAUCCAGCAGAACACUGGGAUGUGACACAUAAUAAAGAGGCUCCUUGAUGACUUCAGGUGUGAGAUGAUCCUGUCGGCCAGACUCUGAUCUCUGAUUCUCUUCCUGAAGUAUUCCUCCUUCUGUGGGUCACUGAAUCCUCGUACCUCUGUCACUCGAUGGACACACUCAGAGGGGACGAGAUCAGCUGCUGCUGGUCUGGAGGUGAUCCAGAUGAGAGCAGAGGGAAGCAGAUUCCCCACAAUGAGGUUCGUCAGCAGCACGUCCACUGAGGCUGAUUCAGUCACAUCACACAACCUCACAUCGCUCUGAAAAUCCAGAGACAGACGACACUCAUCCAGACCAUCAAAG